GGCGACCGGCUCCGCUGUCAUGUCGCGCCAAGCGAAGGAUGACUUCCUGCGACACUACACAGUCUCGGACCCUAGGACCCACCCCAAGGGUUACACAGAGUACAAAGUAACCGCUCAGGUGAGGUGGGACCCAGCGGGGGAGCAUUACCCUUUUAAGCAGCUCCGGAUCCGUGCUGUACCUUAAAGGCAAAGAGCUUCAAGGAGGUCGCGGUUUGGCCUACACAAAUAGAUUUCCCCUUUAAGAGGCGCCUGAGACAGAAGAUUUAAGGCGCCUCACCUCCUGGGGCGGGGCUAAGGGUCAUUUUUUAAAGUCUGUGGAGCUUGGCUCUGCGCUUGGCCCGGUACCCCCUCUCUGUUGUUGGUGAUGUCUAGAUGCGGUCUACGAAUUUCUCAAAGCAAGAAAACUCCGGAUUAACCUAAAUAUUCCUUCUCUAAUCGCUUAGAGUAACUUUUGGUAAUUUUCCCUGCUUGAUCCGUAAAAGCCCCACCACCACCUUUUUAUUUAUCUAUCUUUUCUUUUUUUGAGACAGCCCUGGCUUUUGCGAACUCACGAUGUAAACUAGACUGGCCCGGAAGUCACCGAGACCCUCCUGCAUCUGCCUCCCAAGUGCUAUGAUUAAAGGCGUGCACCACCAGGACCAACUAUAAAAAAAGCUCUUUAAAAGUUUAAAUGUAUGUGUGUGUGUAUAUACACAUAUACACAUAUAAUUUUAUUAUACUAUUUAUAUAUUAUAUAUAUAUAAUUUGUGUGGUUUUAAAAACUCACGCAAAAAAAAAAAAAGACUGGUCUUAACAGAUAAGGAAGUCAAUAAGCUGAAAUUGGUGUUUGUAACAAUAAAACUUAGAAUGAGCUCGUAGAAACAUCAGCAUGAAAGAAUGCUUUUAGAAUUUUACCCAAGGUAACUAUGGAGGUCUCCAAUGGGAGAAACCGGGUUGCUGCGGAAAGACUGACUAUAUAUUUUCUUGUACUUAAAUUUUUUUCAACUUGGCAACUGUUUGAUUAGUGGCUUGUCGACUGUUAAAAGGAAGCAAACACAUACAAGUCGCUCCCAAAGCAAUCUAAGUCAGAGUCUUAGAUACGUCAAGAGUGUUCCGGGGGUUUACUUUUUCAUGCCAAAAAAUACAAAUAUAAUAAUUGUCUCUAGGAAGAUGCCGGAGGGUAGAAAGGAUGACAAGGCAUUCAGAACCCUUAUGUCUUCCUGUUAGCCUUUUAGAUCUAGUCACAUGCCUUACACAUGCAUAGAGUUGUUUUUUUUUUCCAGUGCUAGGGUUGAACUCAUGGCCUCCCACAUUUUAGAGAACUCUCUCUCUCUCUCUCAUUCUCAUUCUCUCUCUCUCUCAUUCUCUCUCUCUCUCUCUCCAUGUCUCUCUCUUGCCACAGCACCCUACAAGAUGAUCCUUUUUUUAUUUUAUAGAUUUAUUUACUUAAUUUUUUUCUUUAUUUAUUUCGAGGCAUGUUUUUUCCCUGUAGCCCUGGUUGUCCUGGGACUUGUGUUGUAGACCAGGCUCAAACAGAGAUCCAUUUGCCUCUGCCUCCCCAGUGCAGCAUCCCUAGGGAUUAAAAAUGUGUACUACCCCUCCUGGCUUAUUUACUUAAAGAUUUAAAACGUAGUUGUUUUUUUAAAAAACAAAAACAUCUGUGCACUCUCCAUGCAAUACCAAAGGAGGCCAGAAGAGGGUGGUAGAUCCCUAUUGAUUGGAAUUACAAGCGCUUGUGUGCCCUCACGUUGGUGCUGGGAAUAGAACUUCUGUCCUCUAGAAAGCAGCCAGUGCUCUUAACCUGAGCCAUCGAUCCAGCUCCAGAUUUAUUUAAUUUUAUAUGUAUGAAUAUUUUGCCUGUAUGUAUGUUUAUGUACCAAAUACAAGCCUGGUGAGAUCAAAGGUCAAAAGAGGUCUUGAAUCUCCUGGAAUUGGACUUAGAAAUUAUUUCUAUCUGCCAUCUCAGUGCUGGGAACCAAACCCAGGUCCUUGGCUACAGCAGCGAGUGCUUUUACCUGCUGAAUCAUCUCUCCUUGUUUCUGGCUGAUGUACGUGUCUGUGUGAAUGUGUAGCACAACUGCGUGUGGAUGCCUGUUGAGGUCAGAGGAAGGUGCAUCAGAUCUGAUCCCCUGGAGCCAGAAUUACAAACGAUUAUGAGCCACAUAAUGUGGGUACUGUUCUGGGCACUGAAUGUAGUGCUUGGAAGAUCAGGUCAUGCUCUUAACUACCGAGCCACCCCUCCUGUCCCCAUCCUUAGAUUUUAAAUGGGCAUCUUAAUCAUGUCUGGUUUGCUGAGAUCUAGAAAAAAAAAAUGGAAAGGAUGUUUUGAAAACUGUUGAUUCUAAACUGUACAACCUUACUGUAAAACUCCCAUAAGCAUAAUAGCAAAAACUAAGUGUUACUUCUGUCUCGGGCCAAUUCUGUUCUUCCAGAGUGCCCAACCCCACUGCUAACUCUGUCUUCAUGGGUAUGAGACAUUGUAGCUCCUCUCUUUUUUUUUUUAAAGAUUUAUUUAUUUAUUAUAUGUAAGUACACUGUAGCUGUCUUCAGACACUCCAGAAGAGGGCAUCAGAUCUUGCUACGGAUGGUUGUGAGCCACCAUGUGGUUGCUGGGAUUUGAACUCCGGACCUUUCACCAGCCCGUAGCUCCUCUCUUAAGAAGAACUGGAUCCUGGGACAGACUCUCAUUUUUUUUAAAUGAUUUAUUUAUUUUUACUUUAUUUUCUGUGCAUCGGUGUUUGACACAGCCAGUGCUCUUAACUGCCAAGCCAUCUCUCCAGGAACCAUCUCUCCAGCCCCUAGACUCUCAUUUCCUGAGAAGCAUAGUUUUGUUUUGUUUUGUUUUGUUUUCCUUUCUGAAUACCAGGACGUGGCCCUAGGGAGGAACUGGGAUAGAAGUUGAGUGCCAAGCCUAGGGGUGAGUGUCUUUACCCCACUUAAGAAGCAGAAGCAGCCACAUCUCUGUGACUUUGAAGCCAACCUAACCGUCAAAGCAGGUUCUAGGCAGUUCUAGGCCUGCCAGGGCUACAGAGGGGAGCCUUGUCACUGC
rnacentral:lncRNA from 1 species